rnacentral:rRNA from 1 species
GAUGAACGCUGGCGGCGUGCCUAAUACAUGCAAGUCGAGCGAACAGACGAGGAGCUUGCUUCUCUGAUGUUAGCGGCGGACGGGUGAGUAACACGUGGAUAACCUACCUAUAAGACUGGGAUAACUUCGGGAAACCGGAGCUAAUACCGGAUAAUAUUUUGAACCGCAUGGUUCAAAAGUGAAAGACGGUUUUGCUGUCACUUAUAGAUGGAUCCGCGCUGCAUUAGCUAGUUGGUAAGGUAACGGCUUACCAAGGCAACGAUGCGUAGCCGACCUGAGAGGGGGAUCCGCCACACUGGGACUGAGACACGGUCCAGACUCCUACGGGAGGCAGGAGGAGGGAAUUUUUCCGAAUGGGGCGAAGGCCUACCGAGCAAACGCGCGGUGGGUAAGAAGGGCUUCGGGUUGGAAAACCCUUUUUUUUGGGAAGAAAAAAAUGUGUAAGAAACUUGGAACUUCUGACGGUACCCUAAUAAGAAGCCCCGGCUAACUUCGUU